AUUGAACGCUGGCGGCAGGCUUAACACAUGCAAGUCGAGCGGGGGAAGGUAGCUUGCUACCGGACCUAGCGGCGGACGGGUGAGUAAUGCUUAGGAAUCUGCCUAUUAGUGGGGGACAACAUCUCGAAAGGGAUGCUAAUACCGCAUACGUCCUACGGGAGAAAGCAGGGGAUCUUCGGACCUUGCGCUAAUAGAUGAGCCUAAGUCGGAUUAGCUAGUUGGUGGGGUAAAGGCCUACCAAGGCGACGAUCUGUAGCGGGUCUGAGAGGAUGAGCCGCCACACGGGGACGUAGACACGGCCCAGACGCCUACGGGAGGCAGCAGUGGGGAAUAUUGGACAAUGGGGGGAACCCUGAUCCAGCCAUGCCGCGUGUGUGAAGAAGGCCUUAUGGUUGUAAAGCACUUUAAGCGAGGAGGAGGCUACUCUAGUUAAUACCUAGGGAUAGUGGACGUUACUCGCAGAAUAAGCACCGGCUAACUCUGUGCCAGCAGCCGCGGUAA
rnacentral:rRNA from 1 species